ncrna:unclassified sequences Streptococcus sRNA SpF59 (ldcC RNA)
UGACCACCCAGUACAGGGUUCAGGCCACACGGACAGCCGGGUCAACUGCCGA